rnacentral:rRNA from 1 species
AUGAACGCUGGCGGCGUGCCUCAUACCUGCCAGUCGAGCGAACGGACGAGAAGCUUGCUUCUCUGAUGUUAGCGGCGGACGGGUGAGUAACACGUGGAUAACCUACCUAUAAGACUGGGAUAACUUCGGGAAACCGGAGCUAAUACCGGAUAAUAUUUUGAACCGCAUGGUUCAAAAGUGAAAGACGGUCUUGCUGUCACUUAUAGAUGGAUCCGCGCUGCAUUAGCUAGUUGGUAAGGUAACGGCUUACCAAGGCAACGAUGCAUAGCCGACCUGAGAGGGUGAUCGGCCACACUGGAACUGAGACACGGUCCAGACUCCUACGGGAGGCAGCAGUAGGGAAUCCUCCGCAAUGGGCGAAAGCCUGACGGAGCAACGCCGCGUGAGUGAUGAAGGUCUUCGGAUCGUAAAACUCUGUUAUUAGGGAAGAACAUAUGUGUAAGUAACUGUGCACAUCUUGACGGUACCUAAUCAGAAAGCCACGGCUAACUACGUG